GAUGAAGAACGCAGCGAAAUGCGAUACGUAAUGUGAAUUGCAAAUUCAGUGAAUCAUCGAGUCUUUGAACGCACAUUGCGCCCCCUGGUAUUCCGGGGGGCAUGCCUGUCCGAGCGUCAUUGCUGCCCUCAAGCACGGCUUGUGUGUUGGGCCCCGUCCUCCGAUCCCGGGGGACGGGCCCGAAAGGCAGCGGCGGCACCGCGUCCGGUCCUCGAGCGUAUGGGGCUUUGUCACCCGCUCUGUAGGCCCGGCCGGCGCUUGCCGAUCAACCCAAAUUUUUUAUCCAGGUUGACCUCGGAUCAGGUAGGGAUACCCGCAGAACUUAAGCAUAUCAAUAAGCGGAGGA
rnacentral:misc_RNA from 1 species